ACCUUUCUCUUGUUGUCCACUG
rnacentral:miRNA from 1 species